AUGGAAGAGCCUCCACCAGAGGCUCCGGCUAAACCCUUGGAACAUGAAAUUCCAGCUGCUCCCUCAACUGCUGGACUCACUAAUGGCCAGGAAGAAGACGACCAGAAGAGCCAGGCUGAAAGGAAGGUAGAUAACGAAAAUGCUCACAGAACAGCUGGCCAGACUGCCCUAAGAGUGCCUAGUCAGGCUGAAUCCAACAUAUUUAGCCAAGCUACCAAUGGAGUAGCUAAACAAAAUGGGCAUAGUACACCUGGUACUAUGCCUGGCGGCAGAGUAUCCAACCCUGCUAAUGCUUCUGACCUUAGAGCAUAUGGUCAGGUUGACCAAACACCGUAUGAACAGACUGAAGGCAAGGCAUCUAACCAACCUAAUAAUGUACAGUAUGAACAGAGUGAUGGCCAGGUGUCUGGCCUGACUGAGGAAAGAACGGCUCAACAGAUUGAACGAAGAUUACCUAGCCAGGCUGAGAGAAGAACUUCUGAGCAGAUUCCCCACAGAUUAUCCAGCCUAUCUGAGGCAAGAACUUCCAGGCAGAUUGACAGUGGAUCCUCCGUACCAUCUGACCAAAGACUUUCUGUACAGGUUGACCGCAGAAUGUCAGGUAAAGCUGAGAGAAGAACUUCUGUAAAGAUUCACCACAUAUCAGCUGGCCUGGCUGACCAAGGAACUUCUGAGCAGACUGAUCUCAGAUUGUAUGGCCUGGUUGACCACAAAACAUCUGUAAAGACUCACCACCAAGUGUAUGGCCAAGCCAGUCAAACAGCUGAACACCAGCCUAUUGACCAAGCUCAUAGUAAUGCUGAUCAAUUUCCAGUUGACAAUGCCGACUACAAUGAAACUGACCAGAAUGACCACUUAGCAGACAGACAAACUAAUUACAAAGUCCAACUGUCUUACUAUGGAACAGGUGGCCAGUCUGAAGGCAGAAUAUUUCCCCUGUUAGGCAAUGGCAAGGAACACAAAGAGGCUGACUACAGAGUACAAUCCUGCAAAUUUGAGGAUAGCCAAGUAGACCCCAAGUCCAAGCUUUCAGCUGAAAUGGAAACUCAACAUGCAACCACUAUCCCAGCCUGCAACCCAGUUGAUGCUAGAUUCACCAGUAAUUUCCAAGCAAAAGACCAAGCCCCUUUCCAAAGACUCCCCUCCAUUUCAUCCAAAUUGAACUAUGUCAGCAGUCAAGAAAAAGCUCAAGCUUUAGUAACCAAAUCUGAUGAAUUUUCAGAAACUGAGCGCAGAAAGAGUUAUCGUAUAUGCAAUCAAGCUUUUAGGAGGCUCCCUUCUAUAGUGUAUGAAGAUCCUUAUCAAGUUUCACUCCAAUACAUGGAAAAACACCACAUUCUGCAGAUAUUCCAGCAGAUUACUGAAAACUUAGUCUAUGAAAAGCCAGAGGACCCCCUGAAUUUUAUGCUGUGCCAGAUCCACCUUUCCGUCUUCUCUACCGCAAAAAUACUAACUUGGAAUUACCAAAUCAACAAGCUCUCAUUCCUUCUGACUUGCAAUUGGGUCAAGCCAAUGGGAAACCCUGGAGGAUGAUUAUAAGAAGGAAGCAGCAAUGUUCCCUCUCCUUGACCCUUCAACCCUAAAGUGCAGGAAAUGAUGAAAAACAGAGACAAAAUGUGAAAUCUACAAAGAAUGAGCCUCUCUUCAGGAUCGUUUACAAUCAUGUGUCAAUACUCUGUUCUGUUUUCCAUCUGAAAAACAAUGGUUUUGAAUAGACAUUGAUGGUGACUCUACCUGAAUAUGAUCUUAAUUUGUAAGUAAAAAUCUAUGGGAUAUCUAUGUAAAAUUUAUAUAACAAUUGCAGAUAUCUCUGAAUAAUCACACAAAAACAUACACAUUAUACUUAUGCAUACAUUGGUAUUUCAAUGCACAUUCUCUGAAAUCCUUGAACAAUAAGUUCACAAAUCACAACUAGCACUUUAUAUGUACUUCUUAUAAAGCAUACAAACCUGUCUCCAAGCUAUUUACAAAAUAUCUAAUCAGAAAAUGUGUGAAAAAGAAUUUAUAACAGCAUUUUUUCUCUUAAUGAAAGAUUAAUGUUGCAAUAUUUCUUCUUUUAUUUUGCUGUUUCUUCUUUAACUUUGUUUGUUAUACUCUGCCAUUAGUGGGUAUGAUUCUAAUCUUUUCCUAUGGUUAGCUCACUUCUGAUUUUUAACCUACAGCAAAACUCAAGCAUGUUGUACUGCUCUGUACACACCUGUGGGUGAGGCAGAAUGUCACUUUCUCAUUACCUUUAUCCCCUAAAGAGUAUCUAUAUCAUGUGGAAUGUAUAACCAGUUCAACUGGUAUUUUAAUGGAAAAAGCCUUAACUUGGUCUAUCUGGUAUGAGGGUGUCUGCCCAAAGAUCGUAACUGAGAUGAUCAUCUGAUACUACUUUUGUGAUAUGAACUUUCCAUUUAAUUUCUGUUUGAAUAUUACAGGAGACUUGAUUUUUUAUAUUAUUCAGUUGAUGCAUUGGUAUAAUUAUAUGGUUGAAUUACAAUAAAUUAAGCUUCUGUUUGAACAAU